GACGGAGGAUGCAAGCGUUAUCCGGAAUGAUUGGGCGUAAAGCGUCUGUAGGUGGUUUAUUAAGUCUGCUGUUAAAGCACAGGGCUCAACCCUGUAUGGGCGGUAGAAACUGGUAGGCUUGAGUAUGGUAGGGGUAGAGGGAAUUCCCGAUGUAGUGGUGAAAUGCGUUGAUAUCGGGAAGAACACCAAAGGCGAAAGCACUCUGCUGGGCCAAUACUGACACUGAGAGACGAAAGCUAGGGGAGCAAAUGGG
rnacentral:rRNA from 1 species